rnacentral:rRNA from 1 species
GAUGAACGCUGGCGGCGUGCCUAAUACAUGCCAGUCGAGCGAACAGACGAGGAGCUUGCUCCUCUGACGUUAGCGGCGGACGGGUGAGUAACACGUGGAUAACCUACCUAUAAGACUGGGAUAACUUCGGGAAACCGGAGCUAAUACCGGAUAAUAUAUUGAACCGCAUGGUUCAAUAGUGAAAGACGGUUUUGCUGUCACUUAUAGAUGGAUCCGCGCCGCAUUAGCUAGUUGGUAAGGUAACGGCUUACCAAGGCAACGAUGCGUAGCCGACCUGAGAGGGUGAUCGGCCACACUGGAACUGAGACACGGUCCAGACUCCUACGGGAGGCAGCAGUAGGGAAUCUUCCGCAAUGGGCGAAAGCCUGACGGAGCAACGCCGCGUGAGUGAUGAAGGUCUUCGGAUCGUAAAACUCUGUUAUUAGGGAAGAACAAAUGUGUAAGUAACUAUGCACGUCUUGACGGUACCUAAUCAGAAAGCCACGGAUAACUACGUG